GAAGGGCUCAACUACAACGGGGACUUUACCUCCCAAAUACAAACAGUUAACCCAAUUGUUUGAAUGCUCAUAUCAAUCUGAAAUUUAAAAAAUAAAUAAAAAAAUUACUGGAUUGGUUUGUAAUGAGGAUAGCAAAACCUCCAAUUUGUACUCAUUGUCUAAGACCCGGAUGAAGCUACAUCUCCAACUACCUGGACCUACAGAGGAUUCCCCCUCCAGUGUGGACAACUGUAGAGUCUCUUGUGCCCAGUCCGGGCUGGCUGUGCGCUGUUUGCUUUAACUGCGGUUUCACUUGAACACUUUCGAGCUGCCAUUUACCAGGGUGGUGCACAAUUUGGUGAUGCGGUGAGAGUAAACCGAGUAAUAGCCACUGGAUGGAUUGACUUGUGGCUGUCAGUUGGACUCGGCUGAUCAAGCAGCAACUGCACCCAUGUGGACACUAAUUCCUGGAUUGCAUUCUGACAAGAAGAGAAGAAUGUGGGAAGACAAGAGGCAUCAGGUUUUGGCUGCCUACCACGUGGGUGCAGACACUUCUGGAUCAGCAAAAUUAAACUGAUAGUGGAAGUUUUGAAGGGCCCCCACUUCUAAGGCAGGUGCAAGGUCUGGUGUUAGAUUUCAUGAGUGUGAGACAUGGUUUGUGCUUUCAAGAAACUUAUACUGGGGACAGAACCAAAAUGGCAGCAUUUCAGUUGUAAGGAAAUGUUGAUACUACAGCCUCACUGAUCCACAAAAGAAAAAAGAGAUCGUUUCUGAACAGCUAAGUAGAGAUUCCGACAUUCAUACACCACAGUUCCAAAUGGCUAUUUGGGUCAGUUAACCAUUUGUUCCAGGGGAAAAGGACCUAUGUGGUGAGAUCUGAAGAACCGUGAAGCCACUGCUUCAUGUUGCUCUCUCCAUGUUGUCACCUGAGGUCCCAUACCUUUGGAAUUCAUGGACACCAGGGCAGUCCUUUCUAAAAUGCCUUCAUGUCCAGGGAGGUUAGAUGUGGUCUGGGGAGAAAACAAAGUGUUGAGAUUGAGAGAAUUAGUUGGAAAUAAGGAGAGACUGUCAGGUUUUGUGGUGUUAGUUUAAUAAGAUGGUGAUUUUUAACUCUAUCUGAAUUUGCCAAUAAAUUAAGAAUUGGAAGAUUUGGUGUGGGUUGUAUAAAGAGGUGGUGCAUGGAUCCCAGAGGCUGUGUACUCAUGGGGAACAUGAAGCGCCUAUGUGAUGAGUCCUGGUUGGAAGUCUGAGACAGGUGAUUAAGGGAGGCAGAGGACAGUGGAAUGGGAGGGAGGAAUUAUUGAGAGGGAGAUGAAUGCCACCGAUGGAUUUUUUUAAAAACUUUUCAACUUAGCCUAAGGCAACGAGUCUGUUCAGGACACUCUCACAUUCUUUAUGACCACUUCAACCUUCUCUAUCUCCCACAGAUGUCCACCUCCAAGCCUUUCAUUCUUAGCAACUCCUACUUUACAGAGAAAAUAUAGGUCACCUGGUGGGCACCUCUGUCUUCCUGAUACAAAAUGAACAGAUCCCACCAUCUCCUCCUUCAUCAGUUUCACUGAUUAAGCUGCUCCUUACAUGUGCCUUGGAUCUUAUUUCUUCAGCAGUCUCAAAAAUUCAUCAACUCUCUCGCAUAUUUAAUAUCUGCCUCUCAGGGGAACCCUUCUCACUGGCUUCUGAAUACUCACAAGCAAAGCUUUCUAUGGAUCCCCAAUACUCUUCAGCACUCGCCCUUUGAAUCCAGAUUCCUUAGAGAAGUUAUCUAUACUGGAGUUUUUAAUUCUUCACCUCCCAGUGACUUCUCUAGCCACUCCAGUCUGAUUUUUGUUCUCAUCAUUUUACAAAAACAGCUCUAUCGAGGAUGUUAGUAUCCUCCAUGCAAGAGAUAGUUUUUUGAUUUCCUCUAUUAUCUUGCUCAGUAAUAAUUGACGUUCCUGACCUGUUGUGGUUUAAACACUCUUUUCCAGUGUGUUCCUGGGCAUAACACUGCCUUGGUUUCCCCCUCUUUUCUGGUCCCCUGUUCUUUGAUCUUUCUUGACACUCCAGCCUGGGCCUCUUCUUUUCUCUCUUUGCUCUCUCCCCAGGAGACUUGACCCUGCCUUGGUUGAAAGGCUCGUGAAGAAUUCCAAGUUUAGACCUCACCCCUGACCUCUAGGUCCACAAGUCUCUAAGACCUGUUUGACAUCUUUUCUGAAAUGUCUCAAAGAUGCCUUACAUUCCACGUCUCCAAGUCAGACUGUCUGUCUUCUCACAUGGCUCUGGUCUUUGCCCGAAGCUUCUUAGACAUCAUUGAAUUGGACAAGACAGAAAGCUAGAAAUCCCUUUGACACCU